rnacentral:pre_miRNA from 1 species
UAUAAGAACUCUUACAGUCUUAGAUGUUCUAAAAAAUAUAUCUGAAUUGUAAGAGUUGUUAGCAC